UCCCACUCCACUCUACCUAAGCCCUUCCCAAUAAACCCUACAGGAAGGGGAAUAAACAAACCCUUCCCAAACUGGUCUUUGCAGAAAGCAGGAAUGGCAAAUAAAUUCUACACUGAGGUGCUGGGUUGUACUUCAUGGGAACCACCUGGUAUUUAUCAUCAUCCUCUGGGGUAUUUACUGAGAGCUUACUAUGUACAAUACAACAGAGCUGGUAGACACCUUCCUUGUGGGAAGCUUACUGUAUGCAGUGGACUGUACUAAGCAUUUGGGUGAGAGUACAAUACAACAAAAAUCAGAAGCUCAUGGUAAAAUUCACUGGUGGAGUUGCCCUAGAAAAUACUUCCUUCUUGGUCAGAUUCAAAGAGGGAAUAUUUGGUUCAAGUAUUAUCUGUCCUGAAAAUGCUCUAUAUUUGUUGAAAAAGCAAAGCAUAUUUUUGUGCCAAUCUAGAGCCCUUCUUCAAACCCACAUUUUCCCAUUGGGGUAUAUUUUCCCACUGAAAUUGGGGGUCAGGAAGAUUUUAUUGUUUGAUCAACUGUUGGAAUUGUUUUGGGGGGAGAUGAAAUUGAAAUUCUUCUCAGGGGAAACAAAAGGGGGGAAAUCACUGGAAGUUUACCAGUAACCCCUUGGCGUCCUCAGGUCCCUGUGGAAAUAUGCUGAAGGCAUUCAAUGUAGACAAAGCUAGCCCCUCAGGAGAAGAGAGAACUAAGGGGGCUUUGGGAGACUUGUGGGGCCCAGCACUUAUGGAGAGGAGAUGAGGAGCUGAUUGCCUGAGGGCCAGGGGAGGAGGGGGCCUGCACGGGAAGGGGAAAGCAUCUCAAAUUAUUUCUGGGGUUGGAGGAAAUUCUAAGCCUUGGAUCUUCGAGUCAAGUGUGAAAAUUCUCCUUUAAGUGUUUGUGAUCUCAGAAGCAUGUCUCACAAAAUUCAUAUCUUGAGAAAUAAUGAAACUGUAUUAAUGUUUUCCACAUUGAAUUCUAUUCAGGGAUACAUAAUUAUCAAAAAGUAAAGAAAAUGAAACUUUUACUAAGGGGAUGAGUGGGAAAUUUUGAAAAAUAGGUAAAAAUGAACUUUUCCAAGGGAAAUUAAUUUUAAGAAUCCUUAAAACACCAAAUAAAAUUUCUUAUUAUUGCUGUUAUCUUCCAAGUGAUCCUGUGCUGGGAUAGUCAAGGCCCCAUCAGGCUCUGGAAGCCCAAGUGCACUGAACAGUUAAUAGAUUUAUUCCCAGGAUGCCUGCCAUAUCCUUGGACACAGGAAGUUCCAAGGGGUUAUCCAGAUCCAGACCUGCGCUCCAAUAACAACAGUACAGCCCGUGGGGAGGGUGAGGAGGGUCAGGUGGCUAGAUGCUGAAAACACCCAAGGUAAGAAAGAAGGGGUCAAGAGUUCUGGGGGAAGAUGACAUAAGGGAUAAUGGGAUAUAAUUUCUCUAAGGGGAGGGAAAAUAGGGGCAAUGAUCAGAUUUGCAAAUCAGUAAAACUGGGGAAACCAAACCCCAAUGGAAUAAGCUUAAAAUUACUAAUUAAAGCACCGUUAACGUAGACCCUCACAUAGUACUCAUUUCCAUUGAACACAGGUAGGUCGAAAUUUUUGAGGGUAAGAAAGAUUCUCUCUAGCCCAUGUAUGUAACUAUUGAAACUCUACAUUUCUAUUUAAGAACAUCGGGGGUUUUUGACAUUGCAGGAUUAGUCUUUGGUCUUGAAUGUCUAGAGAUUUAGUCCACAGGUGGAGAUUGGCACUCUGGGCUCGAGCAGGGAGCACCAAGCUCCAUCACGGAGCAGCAGUAAGUGGUCACCCCGGGGCAAGUCAGAGAAGGUCUCUGGCAGAAACUGAACAGAGGUAUGAGGGGGUGGGAAAGAAAACUGUCAUGAAUAGUUAUCCUUGUGAUGGACUUUGGGUAACGUGGCAAGAGACGGUGUCGUUGCUCUCACACCUGAGGGGGCUUUUUCACGUCAAAGUUUGCAAAAAAAAAUCUGUUUCCUCCAGCAGGAAAGUACCAUCAGCCUUCCCAGAAGAAUGAGGUGAAGUUCCUGGCAGAGCAAAAGUGGAAUCCCGGCUAGCGAAGGAGUCCCUGCUGGCCCGGCAGCUGUCCCUGCAGCUCCAUAUUGCAAGGGAGAAGCAGGGACAGUAUGCUCCCCCCCCAUUCUUGGACCACAGUGCACAUUGAGGGGGUCUGGCUUCCUCUGGAAUUCACCAGCCUGCUGACUGCUAUCCCAGGACAGGUUUCAGCACCCCAGCUGAGACCAUCUCUGGCCAGGGAAGAAAACAGUAAGAGAAAUCCUGCUUCAAGGAAGAAUUGGAUAAGGUUGUUACAGGCAGAGGAAGAACGCAUCCUUGGCUACUGAAGAAGUUGUGAGAUGGCUUCCGCAUCAAUGGCCUGGCAGCUGUCCCUGCAGCCCCAUAUUGCAGGGGGGAAGCAGGGGCAGCAGGGUGAGAUGGAGCAGGGAAACUGGUUGUGAGGAGGUAGGACGGAGGGUGUGAAACCCCAGCAGCAUUGCCAUUAGGUGCCCCUUGAUCCUCGGUGGGAGCACCAUUGGAA